rnacentral:rRNA from 1 species
GAUGAACGCUGGCGGCGUGCCUAAUACAUGCCAGUCGAGCGAACGGACGAGAAGCUUGCUUCUCUGGUGUUAGCGGCGGACGGGUGAGUAACACGUGGAUAACCUACCUAUAAGACUGGGAUAACUUCGGGAAACCGGAGCUAAUACCGGAUAAUCUUUUGAACCGCAUGGUUCAAAAGUGAAAGACGGUCUUGCUGUCACUUAUAGAUGGAUCCGCGCUGCAUUAGCUAGUUGGUAAGGUAACGGCUUACCAAGGCAACGAUGCAUUACCGACCUGUGAGGGUGAUCGGCCACACUGGAGCGGGGACGCGGUCCAGACUACUACGGGAGGCAGCAGUAGGGAAUCUUCCGCAAUGGGCGAAAGCCUGACGGAGCAACGCCGCGUGAGUGAUGAAGGUCUUCGGAUCGUAAAACUCUGUUAUUAGGGAAGAACAUAUGUGUAAGUAACUGUGCACAGCUUGACGGUACCUAAUCAGAAAGCCACGGCUAACUACGUG